AAGUAUUCAGUUAUAGAUGGCUCCAACUAGCAACUGGGGAGGGUUUCCUGGUAGAAGUGGGUUUUGAUGUGGUUAGUGGGCUUCCAGAACAGUCCAGACCCACUCUGGUCUUUGUCUUUGAGAACUAAGGAAGCACUCUCAGCUUGAGAUUAAGCCUGGUCAUUUGUGCUUCAAUUGCAUAAGUAGGAAUGGGGCUUGUGUCUUCAGGAUUUUAGGGCUCUGAGAGCCUCUAGGAACUUGACAUCUUUUUUCAUCUUGGAGCUCACUGUCUGACUAGCACAGGUGUGGGAGACUGAGACUGGGUACCUGAACAGAUGCCCCUGUGACCCCUGUCUCACCUCUCUGGGUUCUUGGGUGGGGAUUUCAAUAGGUUUGGGGAAGGCAGAGAGAUAGGGGGAGUCACAGAAGUCACAGACCUGCAGGCAUCUUACAGCCAAGGAAAUGGACAAGAGACAAUACUUGUCUGAAGUUACAGAGUUAAUGAGUGGCAGAGUCUGGAUCUCUGCUCUGUGCAGUUAACUACUGAGCCCCAAGUCUUGCCACAUCUUCAGACACAGAGGAGCAGAGCACAGGUGUUUCCAGAAGCUAGCCAGCGCUGGGCCAGUCUGAACCUGGUGCCUGUACUUCCCUGCAUCACCCUUAGUUAAUGGGUGGACCCAAUGCUGAAUUUGACCUUGACUGUCAUCCCAUAUGACAGAGGCCACACUGUCA
rnacentral:lncRNA from 1 species